ensembl:misc_RNA Metazoa_SRP Metazoan signal recognition particle RNA
GCCGGGCAUCGUGGUGCAUGCCUGUAAUCCCAGCUACUCGGGAGGCUGAGGCAGGAGAAUCGCUUGAACCUGGGAGGCAGAGGUUGCAGUGAGCUGAGAUCAUGCCAUUGCACUCUGGCCUGGGGGACAGAGCGAGACCCUGUCUCAA